AACUUUCAACAACGGAUCUCUUGGCUCUCGCAUCGAUGAAGAACGCAGCGAAAUGCGAUACGUAAUGUGAAUUGCAGAAUUCAGUGAAUCAUCGAAUUUUUGAACGCACCUUGCGCCCCUUGGCAUUCCGAGGGGCACACCCGUUUGAGUGUCGUG
rnacentral:rRNA from 1 species